UACGUAGGGUGCAAGCGUUAUCCGGAAUUAUUGGGCGUAAAGAGCUCGUAGGCGGUUUGUCGCGUCUGCUGUGAAAACUGGGGGCUCAACUCCCAGCCUGCAGUGGGUACGGGCAGACUAGAGUGCGGUAGGGGAGAUUGGAAUUCCUGGUGUAGCGGUGAAAUGCGCAGAUAUCAGGAGGAACACCGGUGGCGAAGGCGGGUCUCUGGUCCGGUUCUGACGCUGAGGCGCGAAAGCGUGGGGAGCAAACAGG
rnacentral:rRNA from 1 species